AGCUCCAUUAGCGUAUAUUAAAGUUGUUGCAGUUAAAAAGCUCGUAGUUGGAUUUCUGGCCGUGACAGCCUGAUCUGUCCUGCGCCUUUCGGGGCUGCGGACGUGUGUCGGUGCAGUUCGGCCAUCCUGCCGGAGAAUGCCCCUUCCCUUCACUGGGUUUGGGGGCGGGAUCUGGCUCUUUUACUUUGAGAAAAUCAGAGUGUUCAAAGCAGGCGUUACCGCUGUGAAUACAUUAGCAUGGAAUAAUAAGAUAGGACUUUGGUUCUAUUUUGUUGGUUUCUAGGACCGGAGUAAUGAUUGAUAGGGAUAGUUGGGGGUGCUAGUAUUCAGUGGCCAGAGGUGAAAUUCUUGGAUUCACUGAAGACUAACUUAUGCGAAAGCAUUCACCAAGGAUGUCUUC
rnacentral:rRNA from 1 species